AUUGAACGCUGGCGGCAUGCCUUACACAUGCAGGUCGAACGGUAACGGGCCUUCGGGUGCCGACGAGUGGCGAACGGGUGAGUAAUGCAUCGGAACGUACCUUUCAGUGGGGGAUAACGUAGCGAAAGUUACGCUAAUACCGCAUAUUCUGUGAGCAGGAAAGCAGGGGAUCGCAAGACCUUGCGCUGAUUGAGCGGCCGAUGUCAGAUUAGCUAGUUGGUGAGGUAAAGGCUCACCAAGGCGACGAUCUGUAGCGGGUCUGAGAGGAUGAUCCGCCACAUUGGAACUGAGACACGGUCCAGACUCCUACGGGAGGCAGCAGUGGGGAAUUUUGGACAAUGGGGGCAACCCUGAUCCAGCCAUGCCGCGUGAGUGAAGAAGGCCUUCGGUGUAAG
rnacentral:rRNA from 1 species